GAUGGUGAUACACAGCUGCUUUGAAAGAUAAUAAACGAAACCAUGCCCAAAUGAGCUAUGCUUCUGUUGUGCAGAGACAACAGGCUGCCUCGCUAAACGAUGCACACCUGUAACUCACGUGACCCUGGUUAUUAUUGAAACAAGAACGAGGGCGUCGUGCCUUUAUAAGACUGCGUUAAUAGUUCCGUAGAGUUAUCCCUUCCGUUGUUGUUUAUUGAUUGUUAAACAUGGCGUCAUUUGCAAAGGUGGUUGUGUGUGUCCUCAUUGCUUGUGACUGUAAUGCAUUCGGUUUUCCGAAGAGAGAUGUGAACUUAAAGGCCUCUGCAGUUGACCGCCAAAGUGAUGAUGUGGUUGUCACCACAACACCCGUUCCCCACAACCAGACCACCUCUGCCCCUACUGAAGCUGGUGAUGGAGCAAGUGAAGAUGCUGUGGCUACCACCCCAACACCAAAUCCCCCAACUACAUCUGACCACACUGCAGCUACCGAUGAUGCAAGUGAGGGUGCUGUGGCUGCCCAAACUGGAGCUACUGUAUCCCAUACGACUGAAGUCUGAUUCGACUGCUCCUCUGGUCACAAUGACCUGUCUGGACUUUUUGCCUCUACAUGUUGACUGCAAUAAAGGACAGAUUUGUAUUUUUUAAUCA
rnacentral:lncRNA from 1 species